rnacentral:rRNA from 1 species
ACGAACGCUGGCGGCGUGCCUAAUACAUGCAAGUCGAACGCUUCUUUUUCCACCGGAGCUUGCUCCACCGGAAAAAGAGGAGUGGCGAACGGGUGAGUAACACGUGGGUAACCUGCCCAUCAGAAGGGGAUAACACUUGGAAACAGGUGCUAAUACCGUAUAACAAUCGAAACCGCAUGGUUUUGAUUUGAAAGGCGCUUUCGGGUGUCGCUGAUGGAUGGACCCGCGGUGCAUUAGCUAGUUGGUGAGGUAACGGCUCACCAAGGCGACGAUGCAUAGCCGACCUGAGAGGGUGAUCGGCCACAUUGGGACUGAGACACGGCCCAAACUCCUACGGGAGGCAGCAGUAGGGAAUCUUCGGCAAUGGACGAAAGUCUGACCGAGCAACGCCGCGUGAGUGAAGAAGGUUUUCGGAUCGUAAAACUCUGUUGUUAGAGAAGAACAAGGAUGAGAGUAACUGUUCAUCCCUUGACGGUAUCUAACCAGAAAGCCACGGCUAACUACGUGCCAGCAGCCGCGGUAAUACGUAGGUGGCAAGCGUUGUCCGGAUUUAUUGGGCGUAAAGCGAGCGCAGGCGGUUUCUUAAGUCUGAUGUGAAAGCCCCCGGCUCAACCGGGGAGGGUCAUUGGAAACUGGGAGACUUGAGUGCAGAAGAGGAGAGUGGAAUUCCAUGUGUAGCGGUGAAAUGCGUAGAUAUAUGGAGGAACACCAGUGGCGAAGGCGGCUCUCUGGUCUGUAACUGACGCUGAGGCUCGAAAGCGUGGGGAGCAAACAGGAUUAGAUACCCUGGUAGUCCACGCCGUAAACGAUGAGUGCUAAGUGUUGGAGGGUUUCCGCCCUUCAGUGCUGCAGCUAACGCAUUAAGCACUCCGCCUGGGGAGUACGACCGCAAGGUUGAAACUCAAAGGAAUUGACGGGGGCCCGCACAAGCGGUGGAGCAUGUGGUUUAAUUCGAAGCAACGCGAAGAACCUUACCAGGUCUUGACAUCCUUUGACCACUCUAGAGAUAGAGCUUCCCCUUCGGGGGCAAAGUGACAGGUGGUGCAUGGUUGUCGUCAGCUCGUGUCGUGAGAUGUUGGGUUAAGUCCCGCAACGAGCGCAACCCUUAUCCUUUGUUGCCAGCGGUCCGGCCGGGAACUCAAAGGAGACUGCCAGUGAUAAACUGGAGGAAGGUGGGGAUGACGUCAAAUCAUCAUGCCCCUUAUGACCUGGGCUACACACGUGCUACAAUGGGAAGUACAACGAGUCGCAAAGUCGCGAGGCUAAGCUAAUCUCUUAAAGCUUCUCUCAGUUCGGAUUGUAGGCUGCAACUCGCCUACAUGAAGCCGGAAUCGCUAGUAAUCGCGGAUCAGCACGCCGCGGUGAAUACGUUCCCGGGCCUUGUACACACCGCCCGUCACACCACGAGAGUUUGUAACACCCGAAGUCGGUGAGGUAACCUUUUGGAGCCAGCCGCCUAAGGUGGGAUAGAUGAUUGGGGUG